rnacentral:rRNA from 1 species
UACGUAGGGGGCAAGCGUUGUCCGGAUUUAUUGGGCGUAAAGCGCGUGUAGGCGGUUUGGUAGGUCCGCUGUGAAAACUCGAGGCUCAACCUCGAGACGCCGGUGGAAACCAUCAGGCUAGAGUCCGGAAGAGGAGAGUGGAAUUCCUGGUGUAGCGGUGAAAUGCGCAGAUAUCAGGAAGAACACCCGUGGCUAAGGCGGCUCUCUAGUACGGUACUGACGCUGAGACGCGAAAGCGUGGGGAGCGAACAGG